rnacentral:rRNA from 1 species
CCUACGGGAGGCAGCAGUGAGGAAUAUUGGUCAAUGGGCGCGAGCCUGAACCAGCCAAGUAGCGUGAAGGAUGACUGCCCUACGGGUUGUAAACUUCUGUUAUAAAGGAAUAAAGUGAGGCACGUGGGCCUUUUUGUAUGUACGUUAUGAAUAAGGAUCGGCUAACUCCGUGCCAGCAGCCGCGGUAAUACGGAGGAUCCGAGCGUUCUCCGGAUUUAUUGGGUUUAAAGGGAGCGUAGAUGGGUUGUUAAGUAAGUUGUGAACGUUUGCGGCUCAACCGUAAAAUUGCAAUUGAUACUGGCAGUCUUUCGUACAGUUGAGGUCGGCGGAAUUCGUGGUGUAGCGG